rnacentral:lncRNA from 1 species
AUGUCACCUGAGAGUCAAUGGGCAACGAUCAAAUUUCACCUUGAGCAGGUUCUUUUGUUUGCUUUCUAGUCACAAAUAGCUUGGCCCUAAGUGGUGGCUCCCAUUCUUGUAAGAUGCGUUUAUUCAUCGUGUAAUCACCAGUUCCCUGUAGUGGGGGCGUGGAUGGAGUGUCAGAGGCUCCUGCUGGUCUUUAGGUUGUCUGGCCUCCAGGAAUCCUAGAGGUAGUAUUUGGAGAGAUUUUUAAAAGCUUUGUUUCUGUGACCAGCAAAACCUGGAUUUGACACUGAGGUCAGCCUGUUUCAGCCAGUGACGUAACCUGUCUUUUUGCCCCAAUAAAUUGGGAACAACAGCACUCGAUGUUAGAGUUGUCGUGAAGAUUAAAGAAGGUGAUGAUUGGACAACUCCCAACCCAAUACCUGAAACUGUACCAGCACCCAGUGAGCACUGCUAUUCCUGUGACUGCUGCACAUUUGCCUUAUCUCAGCAGUAUGCCUGUGUCACUUUUUUGGCACUCUUUUCUCAUGGGUACAUUCAGAGAAGAGGAAUGUUUGUUCACUGGUGAAGAGAACACCCCGUGUACUAUCGUGUAGAAGUUGUAGUAGACGCUGUGGUCUUUCCAACAACAAACAAAGGCUGAGAGCUCCAAGGAGCUGUGAAUCACACCUCCGACUCCCCCCAGGGUACAGGAACGGGGUUCAGAAUGCUCUUCCCAAAGCUGCUGGGACAGGACCCAGGAGGUUCCGGAGGAUCAGGAGGUCCACCUGGGAGAAGAGCUGAUCGGCUAGUAGGAGAGCUGGAAAAGCAACAGACACCUCCUUAGUCCCUUCCCUGG